AGUCGAACGGACUUAACUCAUUCUUUUAGAUUGAGAGCGGUUAGUGGCGGACUGGUGAGUAACACGUAAGCAACCUGCCUAUCAGAGGGGAAUAACAGUGAGAAACCAUUGCUAAUACCGCAUAAGCUAGUAGUAUCGCAUGAUAUAGCUAGAAAAGGAGCAAUCCGCUGAUAGAUGGGCUUGCGUCUGAUUAGCUAGUUGGUGGGGUAACGGCCUACCAAGGCGACGAUCAGUAGCCGGACUGAGAGGUUGAACGGCCACAUUGGGACUGAGAUACGGCCCAGACUCCUACGGGAGGCAGCAGUCGGGAAUAUUGCGCAAUGGAGGAAACUCUGACGCAGUGACGCCGCGUAUAGGAAGAAGGUUUUCGGAUUGUAAACUAUUGUCGUGAGGGAAGAAAUUGACAGUACCUCAGGAGGAAGCUCCGGCUAACUAUGUGCCAGCAGCCGCGGUAAUACAUAGGGAGCAAGCGUUAUCCGGAUUUAUUGGGUGUAAAGGGUGCGUAGACGGGAAAUUAAGUUAGUUGUGAAAUCCCUCGGCUUAACUGAGGAACUGCAACUAAAACUGAUUUUCUUGAGUACUGGAGAGGAAAGUGGAAUUCCUAGUGUAGCGGUGAAAUGCGUAGAUAUUAGGAGGAACACCAGUGGCGAAGGCGACUUUCUGGACAGUAACUGACGUUGAGGCACGAAAGUGUGGGGAGCAAACAGGAUUAGAUACCCUGGUAGUCCACGCCGUAAACGAUGAAUAUUAGGUGUCGGGGGACAAAGUCCUUCGGUGCC
rnacentral:rRNA from 1 species